UGAGGAAUAUUGGGCAAUGCCCGCAAGGGUGACCCAGCAACGCCGCGUGGAGGAUGAAUGUCGUAAGAUUGUAACCUCCUGUUAGAGGGGAAGAAUAGUACCGGUUGGACCGGUAUAUGACUGUACCCUCAGAGAAAGCCCCGGCUAACUACGUGCCAGCAGCCGCGGUAAUACGUAGGGGGCAAGCGUUGUCCGGAUUUACUGGGUGUAAAGGGCGCGCAGGCGGGAUAAAAAGUCAGUGGUGAAAUCCUACAGCUUAACUGUAGAACUGCCUUUGAUACUUUUAUUCUUGAGUUCGGGAGAGAGAGACGGAAUUCCAGGUGUAGUGGUGAAAUACGUAGAUAUCUGGAAGAACACCAGUUGCGAAGGCGGUCUCUUGGUCCGACACUGACGCUGAGGCGCGAAAGCGUGGGGAGCAAACA
rnacentral:rRNA from 1 species